rnacentral:rRNA from 1 species
UACAGAGGGUGCAAGCGUUGUUCGGAAUUAUUGGGCGUAAAGCGCGUGUAGGCGGCUUUGCAAGUCGGGUGUGAAAGCCCUCAGCUCAACUGAGGAAGUGCACUCGAUACUGCGUGGCUUGAGUACUGGAGAGGUUGGUGGAAUUCUCGGUGUAGAGGUGAAAUUCGUAGAUAUCGAGAGGAACACCGGUGGCGAAGGCGGCCAACUGGACAGAUACUGACGCUGAGACACGAAAGCGUGGGUAGCAAACAGG